UAAAUAGCAAAAAUAUUAUAAUCAUGAUUUUAAAAAAAAUCCAAAAAGAGUCUGAAUAACAGUACAAAAAAUUUUACAACUAUAUAUGUUUGUAAUAAUUAAGCUAGAAUACUUUUAGAAAUAUUACCCCAUUGAUGCAUAUAGGUUUCUUGCCUUUGGAUCUACUCCUAGAUUAGUAAUAGUCCUUAGAUCAAACACUAUUCCACAUACCACCACCUACCAUCAUCAUCCCAACUUUACAUUUCUCCAUCAAAGAGUUAAAAACUCAAAAGCACCAACCUAUUGGUGCUUUUAAGAGUAUUCUAGCUCAACUCUGUUUCUAAAGUUCAAGCUAGCUAACAUUAUCUAAUUUCUUAGCAAACUUAAUAGUUCCAAAGUUUUACCGCUAUAUCAUGAUUAUCCAUUUUCAGUUAAAUUUACAGGAAGAAAUAUAUAUCUAAAUAUACAUUAAGCUUUUUUUUUAACUAUAUAUGAAUGCACCGGAAAAUACAAAAAAAAAAUUAUUGUUGGAUUUAAAAAAAAACAAUAGUUAUUAAAUUAUGCAUCACCAUUCUUAUCAUUACAGUUCACACCGUACCACUGUGAACAUUUUUUAUUUUACAACGAGGCAAAGUGUAAGUUUUUAAAUGAUAGGAAAAAAGUAAAAUAUCGGAUUUUGACAGAAGGUUUUAUAUAAUUUAGCCUACAAAUUAUUAUAUAUAUUUUUUAAUUUUUUAAUUUUUGAGAAUUAAUGUGCG
rnacentral:lncRNA from 1 species